ACUGCCUCCAGAGGCAUUCCAAGUGUGGAUGCUGUCUCUCAUAUUUGCCAGUAGGUGGAAGAGAGGAGAAAGGCUAUGUCCACUUCGAUGUUCUGCCCUAUGAACAACUCAUUUGUUAUUAGUAGUCUUACACU
ensembl:snoRNA Gm22034 predicted gene, 22034